AAAACAUGUGUAAUCCACUGGAAAUUUCAAGGCAUUGAGUCAUCAUCACUCGCCUUGUCCCCCUCAAAUUCCCAUCUCUUAUGUAAGGCUGAGUCACAUUUCAUGAGGUCCGGGCACUGAAGAAAGGAACUGGAAAACUCUCAAGGGAAAUGUCUGAUGGAGUUUGCAAGAGUCAACUGCUGUUCUGCUCCCAAGCUCAGGAACAUUGUGACUGGUGCCAGGACAGGCCCAUGAAAUGAACAAAGGGACAAAGACAACAGAAGGAUAAAUGACAGCAACAGAGUCAAGGGGGGCCAAAACUCGGAUGGAUGCAGGGUCACUGACUUCAGCAACUAGAUAUGACAAGCACCCUACUGAAACAUUGUCUAUGAAGCCUUAGCUUACAGACUUCAGGGAGUCUCUCACCUGGGGAAAUGAGUUUACAUCAGAGUGGAUACCAGUGGCCACGCCCCCUGACCCCCACCCCCCACCCCCACCCCCGCGCCAUCCCCUGGACUCCUACCUGGGAAGUGAAGAGCCUAUCUACAGAUUUUGCUAUGAAACCUCCUCAAUCCUCAGAAAGAUAUGAAAAAAAGUUCCUGCUCCUGCCACAUAGGCCCUGAUUUCCACACUUCAGAGCCUCUGCUAUGAUGUCUUUGUCUCUGGUGCUGGGGCCCUGCUUGUGUCUGCUAAUCUCUUCCAAUAAAUCCCACACCCCCCAAUAAUCUGUCUGUGUCCCUUUUGAACUGGCAUCCAGACCUUUCCAUUGUCUCCAGAGUCAGUGGGAUGGAGUGAAAAGUGGGAAAGAGAGAAGCCACCUGGCUUCAUGUUUUCCUUGGCUAGAACUAGGAUUCUACUCAAGGUUUCUGCCUGGGGAUAGUAGUUUGGUUGAGCAGGGUGGCAGCUGGUUGCUGUAUUUUUCUCUGUCUAUCCAGGCUGAGAGGGGACUGAAGGUCGGUCACAGAAUAUGUAAACAGGAGGAGGUCUCCCUGAAAGCUUGCCAUUCUGGAAGGGCCUGCAUGUCUUCAGGGUUGGGAGUUCCAGGGCUAGAGUCCUGAUGGGGGAUCCUACCUGCUUUUAAGGGGGGCUUCAUAUACAGAGUGUUAUAGACCAAUCUGAUAUGAUAAGUCUUCCAAGAUCUAAGAGACCACAAAGGUGACCUAAAAACCACUCUCCAGAGCCCCUGUCUGAAGAGCGUUCCUUUUCUCAGUAUAAGAGUUGUGCCUGCUGUUAUGUCUAGUGGCUUUCCCAAUAACACCUCAGACAGGCAUAGCUCCCCUUCCCGAGCUGCCUGUAUCUAUUCAAGUUCUCGCACUUACUCUGAGGGACACCUGGUUGUUCUCUCUGUUUCUGAGAUUCCAUUCCUGGAGAGCCAGUCCUGGCUAACACUUUAGCUCACUGCAGGAGUUGGACAGCGGGUCAUUCUUUAUUAACCAAGUGCUUUGAGGCUACAUGGGAGCACACAGCAGUGUGAACCCUAGUGAUGGUGUUAGCUCUGCUUGUCUUCCUUUCUGGGAAAGUGUUGGGGGUAGCCUCAGAGUUUCUGACCAGUGAACUAGUGACUGGGCCUGUGAGUCAGACUAUCCUGAACCCCACUGUGCAGUGUAAAGCAAGGUCUCUGCAUACACAUCAGCAUGUGUCCGUGUGUUCCAGUAGGUUUAGGUGUCUGUCUAUUGAGCUGACUUUUCUCCCUGGCCCCAGAUUUGGUUCCCAAGUUCCCUAGCCUUCUCCCCUUGUCUGUUCCUUAUCUCUGGCUUCAGUGUUUUAAAAAAAUGUCAUAUUGAGCAGCCAGGACUACUCAGAGUCCAGAAUGCAAUAAGUUUACAGCAGGGGAUGGGGCUCCGCCAGGGUCUGGCUUCACAGCCUGCAGCUGGUCAGAGUCAGAGGGGUUCUUGGAGACUAGCCAUGCCUGCUGCAGGCUGUUCCCUGGCUUCCCACUCAGCCAUCUCAGCCUCAGCUCAGGGAAUUUCGGAGAUUAGUAGUUAUGAUUGGGGGUGGGGGCUGAGGGUAGGGAAAGAGAAUGAUACUCUUCUUGUCUACCAGCAUUUAAAUAGGAGAUGGAGGGACAGGGUUUCUCUUGGUUGGGACAAGACCCACUGGAACACCCCUCCCAGCAGGCAAUUGAGUCAGCACUCCUGGGUGUUCUGGGGUGAGAGAGUUCUGGCUGCUCCCCACAAGCCCCCAGCCCCCCACUGCCCUUCUCUAAGAUUCCAGAGAGACACAGAUCACUGGCUCUUUCAGGAUCUUGGCUGCUUUUCAGUUCCCACGAGGACUAACAAGAAGAAAAGGGCUUCCACCCUAGCAAUGGGAAAGUAGCUAGGCCCCAGGUGGGGAGUGUCUCAAGAUAGUCAGGGCUCUGACAGUUUCUCCAAGCUGAGUGUUCGAAGAUCAACCUCUCCUCAUGGACUCAGGUGUGCACCUAGAAGGGGCCCAGCCAGAGACAGAUGUUUUCUCUGUCUUUCCAGACCAUGGCUUUUGCAAUUAGACCUAGGAAAACAAUUUUUUCCCCUUUCUUCAGUUCUUUAAAAAAAAUCAAGAUUGGCUUAAAUACAAAGUGAUCAUUUGGGUCUUUUGAAGGUUUAAAAAAAAGUUGGGGGAGAGAUGACCUUUCGAGAAUAAGGCUUUGUUUCCAGUUGCCUCCCACCCCCAGAGUUCCCAGCUCCUUCUUGGUCAGGAAAAGGCUUUGCUUGUCUUUGACUGAAGACUGGAGAUGAGAUAACACCCCUGUGUUUCAAAGACAUUUCCCCAAGGGCCCAACUGCUUGCAAGGCCUCUGAGGAAACCUUGGCCAACCUCCUGGCUCCAGCAGCUGGCCUCAAAACUAAGACUGCUUGGCCUGUCCCGGAAGCCUGUGAAUCCCCAAGUCGGCAAGAGGCUGCACUGCGAGAUCACCCUGUGGCUCAGAUGCCUGGCUGCAGGCCCUGGGCCUGCCUCAGCCAGGCUAGAAGCUAGGGUAAAUAAGCACAUUUAUCUUAUACAGACCUCAUCUUCUGAGGAAUUGUACUGUGUGGUGAUGCUAUCAGCAUCAAAAGGUCUUUGCUCCUGUGGAGAGGGGGAGGCACAAUUCUCCUCAUCGGACACUUGAUAAUUAUUGAUGGCUGCUGUCAUCUAUAGGAUUUUUUGGCCAUCAGGUUGUAAUUUUAGUAGAAUGUUAACUUCUUUGCCCCAAGACAGAAGACGGUGGCUCUCCCAAAACCCAUUUGACUAUAUAACCCACAAAGGCUAGUUUGCAUGAUGCUACUGUAGGCACCGCUUGAAGACAGGGCAUCUGAGAGAGGCAUAUUGGGAGAAAAGAGGGAGUCUUAGUCUAGAGAGAGAACAGACUGGAAGCCUCAGGACCUGAGAUCUUGACACCAAAGGGCAGCCAGUGUGGAAUAUGGAGCCCUACCAUGACCUUGUGUCCAGGUGUGGUACAGAGGUAGCCAGAUGCCUCAUCAGACACUGGCAUCAUAUGUGGCACAAGAGUGGCAGGCAGGGUCCAGGCUGUCUCACAUGGAUAAAACGUGUCAGUAGAGCAACUGUUUACUAGUUCUAGACCACCUUUACACGCUCAGUGGCCACCUGGCCCCAUGGCCAGUCCCUUGAACUCGGUGUCUUAUUUUCUUCCUCUGUGGUAGAAGAUGGGGAGAAACACACACACACACACACACACACACACACACACACACACACACACACACAGAGUGAAACAGCCCAACGCAGGGGUCACCUGAGACAAAGGGACUGUUUUGGGACCACCAGCUAAGUAUCACCAGCUGAGUUCUGUCUUGGGCCACAGAGGCAGGUUUAUUGCCAAAAAACCAGCCUAUUCCCAGUUGGCCAGGGCUGGUCUGCCUGCUGGAGAGAUCUAGAGAGUUCUUGGUGGACGGCGGCUGCCUUGGGAGAUUGCGGCUGGCCCUUUCCCUCUUGCUUGUGUUUGGGAUUAACACGUAGCCCCUUUAACCUUUUCAUUUUUCUAACGAGAUGGAAACUUGGCUGGUGACCAAGCCUGGACGUGCUUGCAGAGUGGCUGGGCUCAGGCCCAGCGCACGGUAAUUGUGGUCAUAUGUGAGAUGCUGGCCUGCUGGGUGUUAUAGCUGCAGGACAGGACUUCCAGGCAGAGAGAAGCUGAGGAAAGAAAGGCAAAUGGUGUGGCUUUGGGCUCCCAUCCUCACCUAUCUGUCCCUUGGUUUUCCUGUUAAAAAUAGUGGGAUUGGCUUGUAGGACCUGGCUGAUCUGAGAGUCCAGAUGGCUUGAGAAACAGCCUAGCUCUCAUAGAGUCCCUCUUCUCAGCUCUGGAAUAACCUUCCGUGUACACAGGAAAGAUGAGGUAAGAGGCUCCAGGGCUGUGAGUCUGCUCUGCCUCGUCAGUCUAAAUGUGUUUUCACAGGACACACAGAAGGCUGGGUACCCUGAGCCACUACAUACCUACGUAAUGGUUGUGACUGCCACUAUCCUAGGAAGGAGAAUUCUGGGUCAAAGAGGCUAACAGAGUGGGAUGGGAAUGCAAGCAGAAGGGUAUAAAAGUGGUUUACAGGAGCACACGGUGAAGUCCUGAGCAUACAGAAGUGAACUUGUUAAAUACCAGGAGCCAAUAGCUUCAGGGGCUGGAGGUGGGGACUGGGAAAAUCACUUGGCUUGUAAAGGGGCAGUAAGUAUGACAGCUGAGAAGGAGACCCUGACUCUGGACCUCUUGGCUUGCCACUAAUCCUAAUAGUUAGGAGACAGAAGCAGGAGGAUCCAGAGGUGAAGGCCAGCCUGGGCUGCAGAGGGAAACCCUGUGUGUGUGCGUGUGUAGUACUAGUAUAGGAGUAAUAGAAGGAGAAGGAGAAAGAGGAGAAGGAGGAGGAGGAGGAGGAGGAGGAGGAGGAGGAGGAGUUAUCUACAUAGCUCAGUCAGUAGAGGCCUGCACACAGGCCUGACAAUCUAAUCUCCUAAGAGUUCUUUUCUGACUUUUGUAUCACACACACACAGCAGAAAAACUUAAAAAGAAAGGAAAAGCAAAACAAAGGACUUGAGUAGUUAUUUUUUUCCAAAGAGAGUAUAUAGUUGACCCAUCAACAUGUGAAAAAGCACUUGGCUUCACAGGGAACAAGGGAAAUGCAUAUCAAAAGCACAGGGAGCUACCACUUUGCAUCCAGUAGGAAGGCAAUAAAAAAAAAAAAUGGAACCGGAAAAUAACAAAUGAUAAAUAAGCACUGCUGCUGGGAAGGUAGCCUGGUAUAACUGCUGGGAGAAAUGGCUGCCUGGCUCCCCGAAGCAUUAAACACACAACGAUCCACCCACUCCCCUCCCAGGUAUAUAUAACCAAGAAUGAGAGGCAGGAACACCAGAGCUGACAGCCAGUUGCAAAUCAGUGUCCACAGCAGCAUUCACAAGACACAAAGGUGGAAAAACCCAACUGCCUAUCACUAGAAAAAUGAUAAAGAUGCUAUAUGUAUACCUGGCUGAAUGUCAUUGAGUCACAGAAGGAAAUAGAAUUUUGAUAUAUACUGCAACAUGGAUGGACCUGAAAUAAAAUGGAAACAGAGGUAAAAAUACUGCGUAAUUCCAUUCAGGCAAGGCACUGAGGUCAAUUGAGCUACAGACAGAGAGUAGAAUAGAUGCUACCAGAGGGUGGGAGAUGGGAAAGGGAGAGUUAUUAUUUAAUGGGCAUACAGUUCAGAAGAGGGAUGAUGAAAAAAAUUCAGAGCAUAGAUAAAUCUGCCUAUCAUGUGAUAGACACACAACCUUCAAUGUAGUUGAUUUUCCUGGAGCAAACUGUCACAAGCUGGUUGGAAUAUUACAUUGUACACUUUUAUAACAAAAAAAAACGUAUAAAAACUCAAACAGAAAUGUGUCAUUAGAAUUAUAUAUUACAAAUCCCACAGUUAUACAGCCGCUGCUUUAAUACAAACGUGUGUGGGUGUGAGUUUGUUUGUAUCCUCGAGCACAGGUACCCAUGGAGACCAGAAGAAGCAACAGAUCCUCUGGAGCUGGAGUUACAGGUGGUUAUGUGCACCAGAAACCAAACUCAGGACCUCUGAAAGAACAGCCAGAGCUCUUAACCACUGAGCCCUCUCCCCAGCCCUAUACCCUGCUUCUUCAAGUUACAUUUUGUCAUGGGCAUUUCUCCUUUCUCUUUUCUUUCCCUCUCUCUCUGUGUCUCUCUUUCUUUCUUUUCUCUCUCUUUCUUCAUUUUUCUUCUCUCUCUCUCUCUCUCUCUCUCUCUCUCUCUCUCUCUCUCUCUCUCUCUCUCUCUCUCUCUCAAGACAGGUUUUCUCUGUAUUGCUUUGGAGCCUGUCCUUGAAUCUCGAACUCACAGAGAUCUGCCUGCCUCUGCCUCCCGAGUGCUGGGAUUAAAGGCGUUGCACUACCAACCCCUGACUUUCUUUUCUCUUUCUUCUUUCUUGCUCUCUUCCUUCCUUCCUUCCUUCCUUCCUUCCUUCCUUUCUUUCUCUUUUCUUUUCUUUAUCUUUUCUCCUUUCUUUCCUUCUUCCUUCCUUCCUUCCUUCCUUCCUUCCUUCCUUCCUUCCUUUCUCGUCAGCUUCUACUUUAAAUGUUGCUUUGCAUUCCAUUCAGUGUCAAGGGCAAAUACAGUUAACCACUUGUCUGCUUUAGGGCAUGUCUGCCCACUCAACUUCAUUUUUUUAAAGUAAUACUGCAGAGGGUUUGUGUGUGCCUUUCCACAUUUUUGAACCCUUGCCAAAAUUUCCAGGGGGUAGAAUUACUGUGGAUGAGAACAAACAUUUUUAUAGUCUGCAAUCUCUGUCACCAUAUUAUUUUCCUUGAGCAUUGCAAGAAGCUGGCAACACACUGAGCUGCCUAUUUCACCAUGCUUUCCUGAGUCCUUGAGUAUCAGUUCAAACACUUCUUUCUAUUUAGCUUUGUAUUUUGUUGGUGAUUAGCAAGCUGGGGCGUGUUCCUGCGAAUCUGUCUACAAAUUGUAAUUUGUUUUAUGUAAAUUGCUUCAUCAUCUUUGUCCCCAUUUAUAAGUAAGCUUUUUGGUUCAUUAUUGUCAGUUAGCAUAAACUCCUGAUAUAAUAUUCCUAUCUGAAAACUUUUAAGGAAAGAGAUAGAAUACAAACGUGUGUGUGUGUGUGUGUGUGUGUAUACAUACACACAUAUGUUCUACUUUAAAUGUUCUAAAUAUUUUGCCCUUUUUCAUUCUUUGCUUGUUUUGUUUUGACAGGAUCUCAUGUAGCCCAGGUUGGACUCAAAUUCUAUAAGUAGCUGAGAAAGACCUUGACCUCUUCUGAUCCUUCUGCCUCCAUGUCCUGAGUGCUGAGAUAUUGAGAUAUAGGUAUGCACCACCAGGCUCAGUUUGUGUAAUCCCGGGUCUCUAAUCCAGGACUUUGUGCACUAGGCAAACACUCUAUCAUUUUUUAAGUACAGAAACUUUGCAUUACUUUGUACUCAAACCUGCUAGCCUUCCCUUGUGACUUAAUCAUCCAUUUCUUUUCUUUUUUAAAGAUUUGUUUAUUGAUUAUAUAUACUACAGUGUUCUGCCUGCAGGCCAGAAGAAGGCACCAGAUCUCAUAACGGAUGGUUGUGAGCCACCAUGUGGUUGCUGGGAAUUGAACUCAGGACCUCUGGAAGAGCAGCCAGUGCUCUUAACCUCUGAGCCAUCUCUCCAGCCCCUUAAUCAUCCAUUUCUAAGUAUACUAAAAUAAAUGUUUCCUUCAGUUGAAUGAUCAAGUCUCUUUCUCAGUUUGCCUUGACUUAUACUUAAGAGUAUGGAACUCUAGUCCAUGCAGGAUGUCUCUGUAAAAACUGCCUUGGCCUGCGGAAGAGAUGGUUCCCCAACCCCUGUCUCUGAGACAGACUUUUACUGUGUAGCCCAGAUUGGCUUCAAGCUUGCAAUCUCCCAGUCUCAGGCACUGCUAUUAGAGGCAUGUACAACUCUGAUGAGAGAUGUCCUUCUGUAUAUGUUUCUUUUAUUGGUUGAUGAAUAAAACACUGAUUGGCUGAUUGGCCAGGCAGGAAGUAUAUAUAGGCAGGGCUAGGAGAUGAGGAGAAUUCUGGGAAAUGUAGGCAGAGAGGUCACCAUGUAGGCUGCCAAAGGAGUAACAGGUUUCCAGUAACCCAAGACCCUGUGGAAAUAGAUAGAUUAAUAGAAAUAGGUUAAUAAUUAAGACAGAACUAGCCAAUAAGAAGCCCAAGCCACCAGCCAACAGUUUUAUAAUUAAUAUAGCGUCCGAGUGUUCAUUUGGGGCUGAAGGGCAGAGGGACCAGCCAGGACCAAGAAUCUCUCGUUAUACAACUCACUACACCUGGGUAAGGAAGGGAUGAUUUCAGGGUGUAAGAUUGUCAAAGUCUUGGGUUUCAUUGACCUGGGUUCCUUGUUUGGUAUGAUGACUGGGCCCAAGCCUGGUCACAUGACUUAGUCAGCUAAGUGUCUUAAGAAAGAGGUCACACAGAACUAGACAGUGCAUCCUAAUCCUCUAGGACUAACCUUGCUCCUGAGGAUGGCAACAAUGGUGGUUAAAAAAAAAAAAAAAGGCAGGACUCAGGGUUGAGUUUGAACUCUGGCUGUGUGUGAACUCUCAACCUCCAGCUGAAAUCUGCAAGUGUGUCAACCAUGCCUGACUGAUGGCUCUGUAAGGACAGUAUGAAGUGACAUGAAGGAUGUCCUCCACUAGUGCAUGCUCUGCUAUGGAUCCCUUAGGGGCCCUGGGUCAAGGACUGUGAACAGAGGUGGCUCUGAGCCCCCUUCCCCAGAGAGUGGACAGGCUUCCAAAGUUGUCAACGCUGUACUGUCUGCUUUACUAACUGAGAAGGCCGAGGAUCAUCAAGACUGGAUGGCAGAGAGUCUAAACAAGUGGUUCUCAACUUUCUUAAUGUUUCAACCCUUUAAUACAGUUCCUUACGUUGUGGUGACUGUGGCCAUAAAAAUCUGUUUUUGUUGUUAAUCCAUAAUUGUAAUUUUGCUACUGUUAAGAAUCAUAAUGUAAACAUCUGAUGGCAGGAUAUCUAAUAUGUGACCCCAUGUGGAAGGGUGGCUCGAUCCCCAAAGGGUUUGCAACCCACAGGUUGAGAACCACUGCCCUAAACUGUCCCUGUAUUUUCCCACAGCCUCCUGUGGGUACAACACAGCUAGCUCUACUGCUGACGGGUUAUUUGUGAUUAAGUGAACGGCUCUGAAAAGGUCAUGGAAAAAUCCAGAGGCAAGAUAGAAUGUCCUUGGACUGGUCAGCCUGUUCCCCCUCAGCUGGGGACACAGAUGAAGCCUCUGUGCGAGUUCAAAGAGACUCCCCCCCCCCAAUAGUCUGCUCCCCAGGAAAACCACACAGCCUCUUAAAGGUCCCUUGUGCCCAUGGCUCGCCCAUCAGGAAGCCUGGGGCUUGGCGGAGGCUCCAGGAAGCAGGGCCUGGGAGGUGAGUUACACCUCAAGUGCAGCUGUCCCAGCUUGGAGUGGCUUCUGAUGUCUGUGAGAGCUUGGGAGUCUCAGGUCAUUCUAGUGCCCCCAUGGCACAGAUGUGGAAGCCCAGGCAGGUAGCCAGUUAGCGGAGAGGCAGCAUUUCGGUUGGCGAGCUAGGUUCCCAGUCCAGAGCUACCACAGUGACACCCUCUUGAAAAGGACUCUCCUGAUCCUUCUGAAAAAUUCUUUGCUACUGCUCAGUGUCCGGAGGAUUAAAGCAUUGGACAAGCUAGAAGCCUCCACAGUGGCGAGCAAGCGCGUUUCCUGGGGCUAAGAGGGCAGGGAGGCUUGGCUGUUUUGGAGCAGCUGGAAGACCAUGUGGG
ensembl:lncRNA